GACCCUUUCGGGUUAUAUGGUCAAGCGAUUAAGCGCAUACGGUGGAUGCCUUGGCAGCCAGAGGCGAUGAAGGACGUGGAAGCCUGCGAUAAGGCUCGGUGAGGUGGCAAACAACCUGUGACCCGGGCAUUUCCGAAUGGGGAAACCCACCCAGCACAAGCUGGGUAUCCCGCACUGAAUAUAUAGGUGUUGGGAGGCGAACCGGGGGAACUGAAACAUCUAAGUACCCCGAGGAAAAGAAAUCAACCGAGAUUCCCCCAGUAGCGGCGAGCGAACGGGGACUAGCCCUUAAGCGGCACAACUGAUAGGCGAACAGGCUGGGAAGCCUGACCAUAGUGGGUGAUAGUCCCGUAGCCGAAAUCUGAGUGUCGUGAAAUCGAGUAGGUCGGGGCACGUGAAACCUUGACUGAACAUGGGGGGACCAUCCUCCAAGGCUAAAUACUCCUGGCUGACCGAUAGUGAACCAGUACCGUGAGGGAAAGGCGAAAAGAACCCCGGAGAGGGGAGUGAAAUAGAUCCUGAAACCGUAUGCGUACAAGCAGUGGGAGCCCCUUCGUGGGGUGACCGCGUACCUUUUGUAUAAUGGGUCAGCGACUUAUUUUCAGUGGCGAGCUUAACCGAAUAGGGGAGGCGUAGGGAAACCGAGUCUUAACUGGGCGACCAGUCGCUGGGAAUAGACCCGAAACCGGGCGAUCUAUCCAUGAGCAGGUUGAAGGUUGAGUAACAUCAACUGGAGGACCGAACCAGGAUCUGUUGAAAAAGAUUUGGAUGACUUGUGGAUCGGAGUGAAAGGCUAAUCAAGCCCGGAGAUAGCUGGUUCUCCUCGAAAGCUAUUUAGGUAGCGCCUCACGUAUCACCACCGGGGGUAGAGCACUGUUUCGGCUAGGGGGCCAUCCCGGCUUACCAACCCGAGGCAAACUCCGAAUACCGGUGAGUGCCAGCGUGGGAGACACACAGCGGGUGCUAACGUCCGUUGUGAAAAGGGAAACAACCCAGACCGUCAGCUAAGGUCCCGAAAUCCUGGUUAAGUGGGAAACGAUGUGGGAAGGCUCAGACAGCUAGGAGGUUGGCUUAGAAGCAGCCAUCCUUUAAAGAAAGCGUAAUAGCUCACUAGUCGAGUCGGCCUGCGCGGAAGAUGUAACGGGGCUAAACCAGGUACCGAAGCUACGG
rnacentral:rRNA from 1 species